rnacentral:rRNA from 1 species
AAGGUAGCGAAAUUCCUUGUCAGGUAAGUUCUGACCCGCACGAAUGGCGUAAUGACUUGGGCACUGUCUCAACUGCAAAUCCGGCGAAGUUGUAGUGCGAGUGAAGAUGCUCGCUACCCGCGAUUGGACGGAAAGACCCCGUAGAGCUUUACUGCAGCUUAGCAUUGAAUUCCGGUAUUGUCUGUACAGGAUAGGUGGGAGACUGGGAAACUAGGGCGUCAGCCUUAGUGGAGUCAACCUUGGGAUACCACCCUGACAGUACUGGGGUUCUAACAGGACGCCAUGAAACUGGUGACUGGACAUUGUUAGGUGGGCAGUUUGACUGGGGCGGUCGCCUCCUAAAAAGUAACGGAGGCGCCCAAAGGUUCCCUCAGAACGGUCGGAAAUCGUUCGUAGAGUGCAAAGGCAAAAGGGAGCCUGACUGCGAGACCUACAAGUCGAGCAGGGACGAAAGUCGGGCUUAGUGAUCCGGUGGUACCUCGUGGGAGGGCCAUCGCUCAACGGAUAAAAGCUACCUCGGGGAUAACAGGCUGAUCUCCCCCAAGAGUCCACAUCGACGGGGAGGUUUGGCACCUCGAUGUCGGCUCAUCGCAUCCUGGAGCUGAAGUCGGUCCCAAGGGUUGGGCUGUUCGCCCAUUAAAGCGGUACGCGAGCUGGGUUCAGAACGUCGUGAGACAGUUCGGUCCCUAUCCGGCGUGGGCGUAGGAUAUUUGAGAGGAGCUGUCCUUAGUACGAGAGGACCGGGAUGGACUGACCUCUGGUGCACCAGUUGUUCCGCCAGGAGCAUGGCUGGGUAGCUAAGUCGGGAAGGGAUAAACGCUGAAAGCAUCUAAGCGUGAAGCCUCCCUCAAGAUGAGAUUUCCCAUAGCAUAAGCUAGUAAGACCCCUUGAAGAACACAAGGUUGAUAGGUCAGAGGUGUAAGUGCGGUAACGUAUGUAGCUGACUGAUACUAAUAGGUCGAGGGCUUGACCAA